GUCCUUUUGUGGUAUUAGAUAAUUAAAGGUUUUCUUAUCCAAUUGAUUACAUGUAAACUCUUCAUUUCUAAUGCCAUUUCAUUGUUAAUCUAUCUUUGGCUAUACCUUCAAAAAAUGUUAUCUUAAAAUGUUCACACAGCGAGUUCUUAGGGCCAUACACUCUAAAUAUUUUUCCAAACUAUUUGAAAAGCAACUAUGGUUUUAAUUUUCUGUAACCAUUUAUCUUUUAGUUGUGCAUAGUAUUUCCUGCAGGUAGUUGAUACUCUAUCCAGAUGAAGGGAGUUGCCAAAUGCUGCGUCAAGAAUGAACUUUGAAAAAGCUUAGCAAACAGACCGCUUGGAAAAUAUUCAUUCGACCUUCAAUGACAAAGCUUAUGCCUUGCAAAUUGAUUAAUACAGAUACAAUAUCAAAUCAUUUUUCAUACAAUUUUUUAAUGUUUGUUAAGUGCUGGUGCAGUAUGUAAACAGAGUAUUUGGCAUUUUUAUUAGACUGCGGAACUCAGUCAUUUCCUUUGCAACAACAUCUCAUAAACUAUUUUGACAGUCUAAUAAACUAUAAAAAGCUGUGGUAAAAACUGGCUCUGAAUGUUAUAACCGUACAAAAUGGAAAGAGCAAGAGAAAACAUCUAUCACUGGGAUUAUUAUCACUGUUGCUAUGGCAACCUGGUUGCAAUGGCAAUAUCUCCACGGUUCUGCUGUUUGUUAUCAUCUUUCUUGAUUUUACAUCAUUGAAAUUGUAGUAAUUACACUGUGCCUGAUGAAAAAUGCAUGCUGUCAUGGCAACUAAGUCAAAUAUUCUUAAUCAUUUCACCUCUUCAAUCUAAAAUGUAAUUGUUUGUCAGUAAAAUAGGUUAUACAGAAGGCUUCCAUGGACUUACGAUUGCUUUAAGUGUUUUGCAAAAAAAAUAGAGCUUUUAGUCUCAAGACCUUAAGCUAAACUAAUAGCCUGAGAUGGUAAACAAUGACUCACUAGAAUAAGUAAGCAUUAUUAAUUGAGGUAUAGGGCAAUUACAAAAUGUAGUGACUUUAGUAUUUAAAAUUGAAGAUAUAAGAUUUUUCAAUUGCUCUGAUAGCAUCACAAAAUCAUUAUAUCAGAUGUAUUCAUUCAGUAGGUGUCUUCUGGUGAAUAUGUUUCAGAAUAUUUUCUUCUCCUUGGAUGUAACUAAGGUGGAAAUAAUCCUUUGAAAAUGUGAAAAUAAAAUAAUAAGAGAAAUAAUGUACUUUAAAAUGGAACAGUUGGUUAUGAGCCUACCAGCUAUUCUUCAAACUAAAUAUUUUAUAAGUACAUACCAUUAUUAUCAUCAGUACUAUUUUUUAUUGUUGUUUAUAUUUUAUCUUAUAUAUCUGAAUAUGUGCAUCCUAUAAGAGCAGAAUGUCAGAAUCAAUGUACAAAUUUGUUCUACAAAAUGACAAAUUUAUCUGAGUAGGAAUCCAAACAAUAAUUAUAAAAUCCCAGUAUUAACAUAGUAACUGUGUUAUACAUUUAUAUAAUUUCCUAAGACUUCUCCUUCCCCCAGAGGAUGGAAAUUUUGCUUGAAUGGGAAAAGAUAACUGAAUCAAAGUCCUUAGUUUUGCUAAGAACAGAAUCUUCAUGGACCAGUUCCUCCUUUCUUUUACUUUCUAUUAUAAUGAUGCUAUACAAGAAAGCAGAAAAAUAUGUUAUUUUAUGCUUUGUCAAGAACAUGAGUGGUAUAAUUACUUCAUCAGUGUUCUUGGCUUUGUGUACUUUGCCUUUGGAACCCCAGGACAAGCUAAAUGUCAGAAAUUCUAGAUUUUAGAUCCAUGAGAAAAUUAUAUACCUCCUCCUCCUCAAGCAGACAGCCACAAUUACCUAUCACGGCCCUUAUAGUUUUCAUUUUUUGUUAUCAUUUUCAUUAUUUUUCCAUGAGAAACAGGUAUGUGCUGACUCUAAUAUGAUUAAUUUAUUUCUGCCAAAACAGAUGUCUUUGCUAUUGUAAGCCUAGACUUUAUCACUAUGAGGCAGGGUUGAAACAACAAAAAGCAGGAAUGUAUUUUCAGGGAGCUCAUGGACCAAAGUAUUUAUGAGGAUUAUAGUAAUUUGAGUGUCAUAGGGAAGGACUGAUUGAUUGCUCUUUAAUAUAUUUAAUAACAAAAUUGCCUUAAAAUUAUUAAUUACCAAACAGGAAAACAAAACAUCACACAAAUAAAAUGAAUAUAAAGCAUGGAAAUAGAAUUGCCACUAACAUACUUUUGGCUAAAUGUGUGUUUUUAGACAAAAUAUGAGAAAUGUGCAUGAAAUGAUAGAAGCUGAACAUUUCUCCCAUCUGUCCGAAGUUAACAAGGUUACACAGCCAGUCAUUGCUAAUGCGUGCUGUAUUGUAUAACUGAAAAUAAGCAGUAGGCAAUUAUAGACCUUACGGAUAUUAAAUACAGCAUAAUCAGAACACUUGAAAUUAUUAAGAAUCGGUCAUUUAAAAAGAUAUGAUAUGAAAAUCUCUGUUCAGCUUAUUGAUUCUGAAGGUAGCUAGAGAGAAAAGCUUUGGUUGAGAAUCCUAGUACUGAUCCUAGUAAAUAUCAUAAGGUGCCCCCACAGAUACCCCUGUACUCUAGCUUCAUGGAGAAUAUAUCUGUGUCAGGGUGGAUGGCAACUCAUACAUAACUGCCACAGUGGUCACAUCCCCUGUCCUCUCUGCUACCUCCUUAGAGAGAUGAUACUAAAAACAAAAGAGAAAGAGAACAGAAUGGGGAAAAUGUUCUGGAGACUGUAUUAACUUAAGGCACUUCUUAGACUUCUUUUCAUAUUGAGUCCACCCAUAUUAUGAAUCAAUUCUUUAUUUUCUAAUUAAAAUUCUUGUGGGAAAUGAUUUAUCUCAUCCUUGUGUCACAUUUCCUGAUGGCCUCCCUAACAGCUUCUUGACUGCUUCAGAACUUUCUGUACAGGGACAGAUCAUUGAUUUAGUCCAUCCUGUCCUGGCUAAUGAGGGUAGGGUCAUAGGAACAAAGUAGGAUGACUGAGCAGUGGCUUUGCAGAAGGAAAUAGAUUAUCAGGCUCUAUCAAACCCAUGUGCUCAGUGGUUGCCCUUCAGUGUUUGUGGCACUUAUAUCAGUGAACAAAAAGCCUCAGGCCCUGCUCAGAGAGGGCUGCCCCCCCACCACCACAGCACAGCUGUUUUCCUGUGGAGAAGCCAGGCCCUGUCAAAUACCAUUUGCUUUCCUAAUGUAUACAAUUCUCUAUCUGCCUCGUAGUGGUGGGGACUGACUUAGUGAAGAGAAACCAAAUCACAUUGCGAAUGCUGAAGUGGUGUAGGAAUACGAGUGAUCAUUAUUAUUUAAUCUAAUUUCUCCUUCCCUUCAGGAACAUUUCUCCAUUCUUCUCACUGUCAGUUGAGAGCUCAGGGAAUUCAAAUUAAUUUAAAGAUUAGACUGAGUAAAACAUAAUUAGGAAGGUAAAUGUUCUAGGGGGGAAAGGACAGCAGAAAAUGUAUUCCAGACAUAAAUAUAAAUGAUGUUGGUGUUAUAUGCCACUUCUACAUUGCCUUUUCCUUGGCAUGGCUGAUCUGAGGCCGAGAAACUUACAGGAGAAAUCAUGCUACAUAAAUGAUAACAAUAAGAUAUGAGGCUAUCCAGAAAAAAAUUCAGAACUGCCUGACAUGGGGGGUAUUUAAAAAGCAUGUUGAAUGUAGCUUCAGUGUUAUACUAGAUGUAUUUGACUGAGUAGAGUCUUUUUUUUCUGGAAAUAGAAAUGCACUUUAAAUUUCAGAUACUUCUCAGGACCAGAGCUUCUUCCAAUUGUUUUCUUAAAAUAUGUCAAUACAGCCAGGUGAUGUAAAAUAAGAUUUAGAAGCAUUAAAUAAUUUAAAUUGGGCACUUAAUCUGUAACCAUUCCUACUUUAAAAAUCUCCAUGUGAUAAUAAAUUUCAAAUGUCCUUUGAUACCUCAAGGAAAAACUCCAAAGACAGUUUUCUAUAAACUCCAGGGAUGUCCCAUUAGAAUUCUAAUUGGCCAAUCUUUUAAUUCCCCCUUUGAAACAAUUAAAAUAGACACAGUUAAAGAAAAAUGAACUAGAAAUGAGUUUCCAAUAUGCUGUUCAUAUUCUGCACAUUUCUUACGAAUACUUUCACAGAGUAAUAGAGGUACCUGGAAAAAAGCAAAGGCCUUUGUGAAUCAUAAGUUAAAUAUUAAAUAUUUCUUAUAACCUCUAAGACAAAAGACUGCCAAGGUAUUGGAAAUCUGAGCAUCCCAUCUUGCUACAUUUAAACUUUACUGAUGGAGCUUUUGUAUCAAAACAAAAUAUGAAGAUAUUGUAAUAUGAAUGUUAAUGUGUAAGGUUCUUAGAACUGUCAAAAGGCUGAGACCAAUAAUAUUUCUAAUAAGAGACAUAUUUUAUAAAUGUAUGAACUCAAAUCCAGCAUUUAUUUUGAGAGUAUGAAAACAAAAUCUCAUAGUUUUCUUAAACGUUUAUACUUACUUAUCUAUAUAUUAUAUGAAAACAAAAAAAUACUAUGUAAACUUUCUUGCAAAAUAUUGAAGUUUACUUGGCUUUUAAAAUAAUAUAAAUGUUAGUAAAUGACCACUCAUAAAUCAGUGAGCCAAGUUAGGAGUCUUGUGAUUAAUAUCAUUUCUAAUAAAUUAUCACAUUUGUCCCACUAAAUAGAGCUAAUGCUGUCAGGUGUUUUGUCAACAAAGCACAAAAAACAUGGCUUCACUUAGCAAAGGGAUUGACUCGAUAAAAGCACCUGUCUCUAGAGAAGUAUGAAUCUCAUCUUACACAUAGAAGGAGUGGCAGUGUGGCUCAGCAGGGGAAAGUGCUUGUUGCCAAGCUUGGUGACACAAAUCCCAUUUUUUGGUACAUGUAAGCUAUAAAGAGAGAAAAGGCAAGCUGUCUUCUUCUUGACACACAUAUGUGUGGAGACAACAUACUCAUGUCCACUCAUACAUAAUAAAAAGAAAAGAAAGGCAGGGUUUCUUUGGAAGGCACACAUAUUCAUCACAGGAAAUCAGUAAAUGACUUUAAAAUUAAAAUGUAAAACAAGGAGAAGCCAGUCUAUGUUUGCCAUCUUGUAUAUCUUCACUUAGAAGAGUAUUAGGGGACUAGUGGUGUUUUAAUUGGAGGACCUUCUGUGCAGAAGAUUUAGGGAAAAGCCAAAGCUGAGCACACAGAGAGGCACAGAAACAGGGUUCAGAGCACCUUUAUAAAAAAAUCAAAGUCAAAAUGAAUUUCUCUUCCUCUGACAUGAAAUGCCCUUCUUAAGCUGCCAUUUUAUGAGGUCAAUGAUUUGAACCCGAUUGGGUCUUGUGUGGAUGUGAAGAGUGACUAGGUGAGUGAGAUCAUAGCUUCAGGUUGUGUCCAAAAAAAAUGAUUAAGAAACAAAGCCUUCUAGGUUGACUGCCCUCUUCAGUGUCAACAGUCAACCAAGGAAUGUUUCCAUAAGCAAUAUUUGUCUUGGUAGAGGGAAGAUUUCUUAACUUGAAUGGGAAGAGUACAUGAUUCUCUCUCUUCUGAGUCUGUUAUAAAUAUCUUCAACAUACUAUGUUGUCUGUGGUCUUUCUAGUUUUAAGUGUCUAGAAAUAAAACCUAAAAUAAAUUAAUGGAACAAAGGGAAAUUAAUUGUCAGGUCCCAGACAUACAGUCUCUGGGCUUUAAGAUGUCAGGCCUCUACUUCUAGCUUGCCUUGGAUCUCAGUUUGGUCCAGUGGCCAAAUGGCUGUCAACCUCAGCCUCAGUUUUCACUCCAGUAGAAGAGUAAUUCUAUCACUGGAAAUUUUUUCCAGAAGGAGGAAGAAAGUUUUGAAAUUCAUUCUGCCUUUUUAUUCUAAAGCUGCUUGUAUCUCUGGACUGAAAGGAAACUGUUAGACUGAUUUGGGUGUGAAUGCCAUUUCUGGAUUCUAGUGCUAUAACUGUCCUCAAAUAUGAGCAUUAAUCUGAGUCUUGUAGGAAAUCUCUAUCCCAGAAUAAAAAUUGGUCUGUUCCUAGAAGUAUGGAAACACAUGGGGGGAGUCACUGUGCAUCUCCAACUUCACUACAAACAAUUGCAUUUGCCUUUCUCAAUUCUUUGUUUUCUACCACAAUGAUAUUCACACUCAGGAAAACACUGACUCCUUCUUUAAGACUGUAUUCCACAAAUGAUUCUGUUUUGUGCAGAAUCACCUGCUCUGAGGUUUAAUGAAGCAAGUUAACUGUAAACGGAUGGACUUCACAGGUCUGCCACAGGAAGGAAGGUAUCAUGCUCGCCAGCCCUCGGGUGUGCAGUAUUCUCAAAGAGCUGACAAUGUACAUGCUGGAACUUCUCAGCCAAGCCAGAUGCGUACAGAGAAGAUAAACAGAAGCAGCAAAUGUCUCAAUGUAUGCACUCGGUGAGCACUUGCUGAUUUCUACUGUACCAAAUUGACUAGCCAUGCAAAAAAUAGGAUUAGCCGUCUAAUUAGGAAUUCAAGCAUUUUUAAAAUAUCAUUAAGACUGCCUUACAAGGAAGUUAUUAAUAAAAUGAGUCAUUAAAUUCAAAAUAGACAGUAGUUAAGUUGGAGACUUCCUUGUUCAUAAAAUCACAUUUAACUCAUUUAAAAGUGACACCAAGCUUGAAGAUUCCAACAUAAAUUAGGGCUACUAAAGAAAUGCCUAACACCCAUGAAAAUCUGAGCCAGGAGAGUGUUAUUUUAAGCUGGUAUUUAUCCAAGGGGUACAGUUUUAUAGGAAGCACAUGAGAAACAUGAGUGAGUUUCGAUGCAUAUCAUAUUUAUUAAAAUAUUUGUAGCAUUCUCAUGUUUUUCUUGGCAGCUUAAAAAUUCAUCCAUCAAACCAAUGAAGUUAUAGUACUAAAUCAAUGCAUGUUUAGUUUAUUUAGUUUUAUUAGUUUAUUAGUUUAUUAGUUUAUUUUCUAAUAGUGAAUAUUCUCUGUCAACAAAUUAUAAUUCUUUAUCAUUUUUAACUAUUUUUCUUUAAUCCUAAAAGACUUACAACCUUUACCUCUGCAUAUUGUUUCACUAGUUGCAAAUAGGCAGACAAUGAGAAUUUUAAUGAUCUCAAUGAAGACAAUGUGAGCCAAGAUUUUUCAGGAAGCUUAUGAGGCAGACCUUGGAGGCUUAUGUUCUCCCUCUUUCUGACAGGUGUGAAUCUUCUGAGUCACAAGGAAGAUUAGAAAUGUCUAUAUUUGUGGUGAAGUUCCAACCUCAUCUUUCUACUUCCCACUACCAUAGCUACAAGAUUGCAACCAAGACUCCUCACUGGAGUUAAUUUAUAUUUAUUCCAGCCUAUAUUGGGCUUUGGUACUACCAAACAUGAAUUGUCUCAGCUGUGGAAGGAUGGUCUCUACCCUUCAGCACUACUCAUUUUAAUGACUGAGGCUGAACAACAUGCUCUUUAGAACUUUUCAUAAUCCUGUCACAGUGUCAUUCAAAAUGAAUUCAAAUUACACACAAAAUAUUUUAUUUGGAUUUAGAAUUAAUACAGUAUGUCCUUAUAAUUUUAAAGACUCGUCGAGGAUGCCAUUGGUUUGAAUCCAUGAAAUGCUUUAAAUAGUAACAGAGGUCCCAGAUGUGUGUAUUUUGCUGAUCCUCCUGUAUAUUUAGACACUUAGCAUGAGAGGGCUUGACAGAUGAAAAUUAGAUUGUUAAAAUGUUCUUUUUCACUAUAACAGGAUUCAGUGUCAACUUGAGGCCACUAUGCAGUUACCUAUGUGAGCAUGUUGCCCAUCACAGGAAUCCCAGUCAAGUCAUCCUCUUCUAUAUGUUUCGUGCAACCUUGAAAUAAUUUUAAAAACAAUGCAACAAACUGCAACUCUAUUUGAUCUGCUUCAGGCAUUCUGAAGAAAUUUGCUCUAGUGAAGAAGAAAAGUAAUAAAAACAACUUUUGUCCAUCAAUAUUCUUACCUGAUAGCUAUUCCUUGAGUGUUUUCUAGAGUAUGCCAUGACUAUAACAAUAUAGGUAGCAUAUAAUAAAAAGUAUAUAUACAUAUCUCUGUAUUUUCUUUAAACUGGUGCUUCUUGUGGGGAGUGGAAGAAAACCUGUGUAAUGAGCUGAUGAAAUACUAAAUGAAUGAAUGCUGUUGACAUGAGCACAGGCACACAGAGGAUGUCAAUGCUCACAGCUAUGGGAAUGGCAAAGCCUUCCCUUGGUCUGUGUGUAGAUGUUGACAGUAUGCAGAAAUGUUAACUGCAGCUUUCUCUUUCCAGAUGUUACAGCCCAAGACUACACCUCCACAGAAGACCCUUCCUGAGAUUUCCUUGUUCAGCUGUAUAUAAUGAGCCUGACUCCUCAUCCAGUUAUAUAAAAUAACACCGUCUCUCCAUUUAGCUAUAUACAAGAAGCCUGCCUCCUCAAUUCAAAUAAAUAAAAAAACUUACCAAGUUUCUAGGUUGUUGAUUGUAUGUCUCUAUCUCUCUAUCACAGCAUGAAGCCCAUCUGAUUCCAACUUUUCUGUAUGUGUCUCCGAAAUUUCUUCAUUUCUGGUCACCCCAGUUAGGUCAGCCCUAAAGUUGUGCAGGUUGUGUCAAUCUCUAAAAGGAUGAACUCCUUGUGAAUGCAUCUAUCUACUCCUGUGGCCAUGUCAUGCUUUCUCAGUUGUUAUGGAUGCUAGUCCUCUGGAAUUUCAAACCAAAAUACUCUUUCUUCUAUACACUAAUUUUUGUCAUAUUAUUUCAUCAUGGCAAUUCAAAAAAAACUUACCUACAUGCUGGUAAAAGAUUGGCAAUGUUGCUGUAAAUGGCCUGACGUUGCUCUUUCUUAAAGAAUACUGAGGACCUUGGAAGUUUACUGAUAAAAGCAGUUGGAUGCCAUAAGCAAGGUCUGGAAGUCUGGAAGACUUGACUCCUGAGAUUGCAGAGAACAAAAAUGUGAUUGCCAACUGGGCUAGUGGCCAUUCCUAUGAGAUAUCAAAGAAUACUACAGCUUCAUUCUGCUUGUGUUCAAGAAUUUGCUUUAGGUGAAAUUUUUAAAUAAUGAACUAAUUCCUUUGGUGAAGAAAAUUUCAUGGAAACAUCAAUGGAUUCUGUGAUUGGUUAUUUCUGAUUACUCCUAUGCGGAUCUAUAAGGAAAAAGAGCAAAUUGGUUAGAAAGAAACACAAAAUGGGCAUUUUGGUGAACAAAGAACACUAAGAAGCUUAAGGAUGCCCACAAGGCAUGUACUGAAAAUGAGUCUAUAACUAUUAAGGAGAUCAGCACCAUUUAGUAAGAGCUUCCUGCUCUGCAUCGAAUGGAUAAGAAAGGGAGCCUCAGGUAAAGACCCCAUCCAGCUAAUCUUCCAACUUGUGAAUGAGAGGGCUUAAAAUGUUUCUUACUCUUACACAGCAACAACAUGAGGAAGGUGUUGCAUAUGUGAUCUAACGGAUCAAAGGGCCUUCUUAAGCAGACAGCCAAACUCAUCAGAAACAAGAGAUAGGAAAGGAUAUUGGUUGCUUAAACUCCAUGGCUUCAGAGAGCCCCUGGUUCCCAGCAACGUGUGUCAUGUUUGGAGUCCUGGCAGAGGACUAAAAAGACAUUAUAUGAAGCUGUGAAGAAAAAGCUUGUGUUGAAGUAGAGGACCCCAGAUGUUGGAGAUGACAGAGUUAUGAGACAUCUACCAAGGAAAGUUGUACAUAGGAAGUAUAAACAGCUCCCCAAAAUAAAUGUAUGUUUUAGGUAACAAAGCUGGAAGGGAGGAACCAUUUACGUUCUCUCAAACUGAAACCCCUGAUUUCAGAUGUGGAACUAUAGUGUUUGGUGUUUCCCCUGCAAGAUUUUGUUCUUACUUUUGCCUAAUCUUUCCUUAUUAUGUCCCUGUUCCUGGGAAUGGGAAUGUAUAUUCUGUAUCAUUAUAUGUUGGAACCAUGUAAUUAUUUUUCUGAUUUUAUAGGUGGUCACAGGGAUGCCUUUGAGUUUCAGAAGUGACUUUGGCAAAGGCCAAAGACUUAAAGACCAUGGGGAUUUCCAAAGUUAGACUAAAUAUAUUUUGCAUUAUGAAAUGGCCAUGAUCUUUUGGAAUCUCAAGGUGACUUAAAUGAGAAUAAUUCUCCAUAGGCUUAUGUUUUGGAAUACUUGGUCCCCAGUUGGUGGUUGUUUGGGGAAACUGUGAAACAUUUCAGACUUAUAGCCUUCCUGAAGAAAAUACAUCAUUGGGCAUGGGCUUUAUGGUUUCAUAGUCUCUUCCCACUUCUGGCCUCUCUUCAGCUUUUUUGUAGAUGAGAUGUGGUGUGCCAGCUUUCUGAUCUUGUGGUAUGACAUUUCUGCUUCCCUGCUAUCUAGGCUAAACCCCUGGAACUGUAGCACCAAAUAAACUCUUCUUUCAAUUCUUUUUUGUUAUGGUAUUUCAUCCCAGAAACAAGGUAGCUGAUACAGUUUCUAUGCCUUCCAAACAAAACUCAGCUGUGCUGUUGCCUGUGACUGUAGCUAGUGAUCACAUUCCCACUCACAAUUGGUGCCAGAGACAUAGAGAGGACAGAAGAGAUUACUGCAGUUGUAAUCCUACAGGGCUAGGGAUUGCAGUCCCAGUCACAAAUGGUUCUAGAGACAUAGAGAAAACCUUAAGAUAUUACUGCAGCUUUCAUUCAACAGGUCAAAUAACUGAGAAUGAAUUCAUAUUUAGACACAAGGACCUAUCAAGAUUGAAUAAUAGAGAAAUGGAUGCUCCCUUUUCUCCUGUUCCUUUACAUUGCCUAUAGAAUGACUUCUACCUUGUUUUCCUUGAAGGACUUGUGAAUGUGUAACUGAAUUGCUUUAACCUUGGUGGGGUCCUGGUAUUGGGAAGCAGUUGUAUUUUAUUCAGUGUGAAAAUGUAUAAUUGAAGUACUGUAUGAACAUUAUUUGGAAACUAAAGAAAUGGUUAACUUCUGGUAUAGAAAUAUAUGAAAAAAUCUAAGACUUUUGGCAGAAAAUUAAAUUCCAGCAAAUAUUAAGUGUCCCUUUAAGAAUUAUGUAAUUCAGUGGCUAUCAAUGACCAGCAGAACUCUCAAGGUGAAUUUUUACUUUUUUAUGGUGAGAUUUGUAGAACUGUGGUGGUUUAUGGUUUUAAAUAAGAAAAGGCUUAUGAAGUCUCCUGGAUGGAAAUAAAGUACCUUGAAGGUCAUAUGUAGUAAAGAAGAACUGAAGCACAGCUCUCCACUCUUGUGAUUGCUAAUAUAGUAGCAUGGUUGACCAUGAAAUCAGGUAUGCUUUUGUCUUUCAAAUCCCAGGUCACCCCAAACAAUGGCUCAUUGAAGUCAGUCAUGAUACAAUUCUCUGUUUACCAGUUUCAUGAGUACAUUGCAAUAGUGUUAUUGGGUAACAUGUAAUUAUCUUUAACUGUUUUCACUAUGAAAAUCAGAGAUUUUCUCUAUAUGAAAACAACAAUAAAGUGGAUUGGCCUUUGA